UGGAUUUCCGCUUCCAUGCUAUCUUCAUAGUCAUGAAAACAAGACGUUUUGACGGUGAUUUUCACUUUCACUUUAAGUAACAAGAUCAUGAAUUUCCAAUGGAUUUCGGGUGUAAUUAUUUUUUCUGUAUUACUUGAACAAUUAAUCGCUGGAGACGUCCUGUAUGCCCUUACAAGUGGAAAUGUCGUUAUCAAUCCUCAAUUUAAAGGAGACUUAAAAGAGAUCCUUUGGAAACACCAUGGUCACAAGGCGGUUGAAUGGGAUUCAACAGGACAUUUUCAAAACUUUCGAGAAUUUAAGGGAAGAACAGAAUUAAAUACAGAGACUGGACAAAUUACCAUCAACAAUUUGACCGAUCAACAUAGUGGUAUCUAUGAAGCAGAGGGAGUGGUUGAUGGGCAAAUAAAGACUUUUAACCAGAACAUAGAAGUCUUGGACCCUGUGCAGCCUAAAAUCAGCUGUGAGCUCAACAACACCAUAGCUACACUGAGCUGCAGAGCAAGGGGUCCACAGGUCAAGUACAAAUGGCAAGGCCCUGGCCAGGAGGAGACCACUUGGAGUCAAGAGGAAAGGGGACCCAGCUUUAGCAGUCAUUCCUCAGGCUCAGACAACUACACCUGUGUGGCCAGAAACCCUGUCAGUGAGAAGACCCAGUCAUUCUACACUAAAGACUGCCCACCUUUAGAACUGUCGAGGGAAACCUACGUGAAUAUGGUUACUGGGGUUUUUGUUGGUGUGGUUGGCCUUGUCGGUCUCUUGAUUGGCGUGUUCAUCUAUAAAAGAAAAGGCAAAGGAAUAAAUCAAUGUGGAGAGAGGGGUGGGGCAGACAGCCUCAUCCCAGGACCAGGAGGAAACGGGGCUGAGAGAAACCAGGAGCCAUUUGGAAAGGGGUUCCAAAGUAUACCCAGUAAAAUAGAGGAUGUCAAGGAUGUAAACGAGGUCGACCUGAACAGCGAGGAGGCGAGAACAAUAGAGGAUGAGGACCGUCAGAUGUUGCUGGAGCAGAAAACUGGAACACAGAAUUCAAAUGUUACACUAGCCCUACCACUUUCUCCUGGAGGGCAGCCCCCACCGAAGCCUCCUCGAAAACCUGGCUCCAUCAGAGGCCCCUGUCUAAUGCUUGUCGGGGACAAACAGUCAGACGUUGAUACGGGUAACUAUGCGAAGCAAAAUUAUCAAGAGUCACCUGUUUGGUUUCCAGCUACAAGAAGGUCAGUUGAGGAUGAGGGAGAAAAGAGACAACUGAGUAUCAAGAAGGGAGGCUUAGAUUACGAAGAGGUAGGUGAGGAUGAGGUAGAAAAGAGAGAGAUGAAUAUCGAGGAGGGAGGCUUAGAUGACGAAGAUGUGGGUGAGGAUGAGGGAGAAAAGAGAGAGAUGAGUAUCAAGGAGGGAGGUUUAGAUUACGAGGUGGGUGAGGAUGAGGGAGAAAAGAGACAACUGAGUAUCAAGGAGGGAGGCUUAGAUUACGAAGAGGUAGGUGAGGAUGAGGUAGAAAAGAGAGAGAUGAGUGAUGAGAAGGGAUGCUUAGACUAUGAGGAAGGGGGUAUGGAUAGAGAGGAGGGAGGAAAGGUUUAUGGGGAUGACAAAGAGAAUAAAAAGGGGGUGCAUGAGGAAGGAAAUAAAGAGAAAGGAGAUGAAGAGGAAGUAAGAACACAGGAUACGGGUGGAUUUGAAGUAGAGAGGGAAGAAAAAGUGGAAAGCUGUCGAGGUGGAACUGAAUGUGAGGAUAAACAAGAGGGCCUGUUGCCUGAAAUAAGGCCCGAUGAGCAGCAGACAGAUGCGGAAGCCAGCACUCACUGUGGAACAGGAAAAACCACCAACCCCUCGGAGAACGGCUCACAAAGACAGAGCUGUCACAAAUCAUCGCCUCCGCCCUCCAACCCGCGUUCCCCACCACCAGUGCCCCCAAAGCCAUCAGUAAGAAGACAUAAUACAGCUAGGCCGACAGGUGACACUGUCAUAUAUGGAAGUUUGAACAAGGAUGGUACUGUCCCCAAAUAAAGAUAGUGUGAUCGGACACUUUGUUACAUUACCCAAGUGGUCCUUUUAACCAGCUCUUGACCAUUUAAAACCAGUUACACUAGUUAAUAGUGCAUAGCCUACCUGCAUACGUGCAAAGUAACAAAUGGAGACCAAUGCAGGUGCGAUAGAGAUUGAUUUGAAUAAAAAGAGAGCUUGUGGGAGGAAUAUUGUCUAGGCUAUAUAUGUAUUUUAGACGCAUUGCAUCUGGCUACCAGCCUAUUCUCAUAUUACAUUGUAUGAUUGAAAUUCUUGUGGUUAUGAUUCUGUUAAUCUAUGGAAAUGGUUACCACUUAAUUUGUGAUUGUCAAUUAAAUGUUUGUUUUUUUAAUGAAUCAUUGGAAGGGUGUGACGUCCUUCAGCCUUACUUUCAGUUUCAUUUCUUGAAAUAAUAAGCUAAGAUCCAUCGUCCUUUGCUGUAGUCAGCGGUUGGGUGUGGAAGAAGGGACCAUUUAAUUCACUAGUUACUUCGAUAUGGGCAAAUCGAAGAGAGGCAUUUGGCCUAUUCUCUUUUUCAUGGGAAUGGCGGUGGGUCUAAACGCAGUUUCAGGUCAGACAAAAUACUUUAAGCUAGGAGGAACGCUUAAGUUGGAACAAGGCUCCCCUCCUCCGCCUGGCUCCUCCAUCACUUGGAAAUUCCAAUCGAAUAAGGUGAUAGAAUAUGAUCCUAAUUUCACUGAAGACAUUGAUGUCUAUGGAGAUUUUAAAAAUAGAGCAACACUGAAUAAAGCAACUGGACAGUUGGAAACUACUGACUUAACCAAAAAAGACAGUGGGGUUUACACUUUGGAAGUCAAUAGUGAAGUGAAUGCAACAUACACCGUCGCUGUUAUCCGUUCCGUCCCUACCCCAAAAAUAUUAUUAACAACAGAAGACGGUGUGUCACCGUGUGACAUCAGACAACAUACCUGCCGUCUCACCUGUGAGGUACCAGACUCCACUGAUGCUGAGCCAGUCACCUAUAGCUGGGAAGUGGAAACAGGAACAAUGGAGCCUAGUUCAGACAAAUACCGGGAUAUCAAUGACAUAGAUCGUGGUAAAACAUUCACCUGCAAGAUAAAGAAUCCAAUCAGUGAAGAGCAAGCUUCUUAUACAGUUAACAAAGGAAUAAAUGGACUUGGAAUUGGACUUGGAAUUGCAUCUGGUGUGGGUGUGCCUCUGCUAGUGUUGGCUCUUUUAUCUCAAUUUAUACCACAACUUAGGGAAAAGAGAAAUAAUUUUUUCCAGUCUUUGAGAUCUC